CCCACCCCCAUCUCUGCCAUGCCCUUGGGUUUCUGAAGCUUUUUCCGGGCCUUCGAGGCGUAGGUCUUCCUCUUACCUCCUUCAUGAAGGAGGCUUCCGCUGAGAUGAUCAAUCUCUCCCUUUUCUGAACUGCUGCUGCCUUUAUAGUCACUUUGGCAUAUUUUUUCAAGCUCCAUUGCUCACUAAUUGUUUCCCGUCUGUUGGCUUUGUGUCCCCAGCUAGGCUGUGAGUUCUUUGAGAGCAGAGUGUCUUACACAGCUCUAGCAUCUCCCGCAAUGCUGGGCUCAUUGUGGCUGUUCAAUUCUUCCGUAUUGGUAAAGCAAUUGGUCCCUUCAUUGAUUGGCUCAGAUCUUAAUACCGAUUGCUGGAAAUGGUCCUCGGGGCAAUGAGGAGGCGCUAAACGUCAUGAUCACGAUAGCCUUUGUAGUAGGAGAUACCACCCAUGCAGAGGAGACCAUGGGCGCUUGGCUUCUCUCUAGACCCAUCCUACCCUUCCCCACCCUACUUGCAUUGGGCCUUCCACACAAGUGACUCCCAGUUAUGUCAAGGUGUACCACUCUGCAGUCCCCAUAGGCCCAAAAACCUCUCUCCCUCGGAAGGUGCACAUAACAUGCAUCCUGCUUUCCUGGCUCCUCGUGAGAAAUGGAGCACCCAGAGAGAAUCGAAUGAGCUUCACCCAGACCCCACGUCCAGUCAUAUUUCCAGAGAUAAUUUGACAUGAGUCUGACUCAAUCAGUCUUUAUUUCCAUCAAAAAGACAUGAAACAGGCUGUGGAUCCCAUCAGGGGAGAAUAGUGAAGUCACAUCUAAUAGAGCCAAAGAAAACAUUUAACUAGGUUUGCUACUGAACUUUGGAAGGAAAAAAAGAAAAAGAGAGUACCAGGGACAUGUGUUUAUCACCGACAAUCCAACCUUGAGACUCAAAUUGAUUUAGACUGCCAGCUGAGGAUGAACUGGCCUUUCAAAAGGAGGAGGAGAUGUGACAAUUGGAGACACAAAAUUUAGCUAGAUUCUUUCCCUGUCUUCUUCAUCACAACCUUCUCAUUAGCCCAGAUACCCCUUGAGGCCUUGAGGCUUAUGGAUGGCUCCCGAUUACAAGGUAGCAGGCCCUAAAGACAUUUACCUGGACUCUGCUUGGCCCAGCCUCAGAAACCUCACAUCCUGACCCUGGGGCUGUGGUUGUAAACCAGGAUCCUUCUCCCUACCAGAAUACCUGUGAUGCCUCCCGGCCCUCUCUGAUCCUGGUGGGCCCACCUCACUCUGCAUCCCCCGUGAGGGAGGCUCACAUGUCAUUCAUUAGGUGGUGCAGGAUGAGUGAGAGCUUCCAUGGGCAGGCGCUGGAGACUCAGUGGUGGAUAGGCCGGCGCCUGCCCUUUUCGAAUUCCCCGGUUAGUGGAGGCGACACAUGGGAAAACCCAAGACAAGGUAGUAUACCCUGCAAGCCACUAAUGAACAUGGUGCUUUGUGCUCUGAGAAGCAAAAAUGACUGAUGUUCCCUCGAGGAAGGGGAAGGCCUCAUCAAUGACAUCAUCAUCAUGAUCUUGAAAGCUUAAGCCAAUGUGAUUCGGAUUCUGCUACUUGCAUCCAAAGGACUCCUGAUCCACACAAGGUCACACAGCUAAUGAGAGAAUGCUGCUUACAACGGUGGCAUCGGGCGAGGACUAGAGUCCAGCUCUGCAUUCACACAUCACACAGAGAACCACAAACAGGCGUAUUGAAAACACCUUUAUCCGGAGCCUCUUCCGA